CAGGCAACAAAUGGGGGUCACAUCCCCCAAGGGACACCCCCCAAGUCUCACCACCAUUCCAAGGGAAAGGCAAGUCUGGGUAUUAUACCCAUUAGAUGGAGGGCAACAUUGAAGUGAACUCGGAGGGGUGGAGAGGCUGGCCCUCAUCUGGACCACACAGUGCAAGGACUUUGGGUUUCAUUCUCUGAACAAAAAUGUGGAGCCACAGAGGAGAAUGCCAACCCCGGGAGGGCAGGGCUGGAUCUUCCCUGGCGGCUGCUCCACCUCCAGCACGGAGAACAUAGCCCGACACACAAUGAGGAGACUGAGAGAAGUAAAGGUUCAUGCCGGAGGAGUUGAGGGUAAACCCAGGGUAAACCUGUGCCUUCCUGCUUACCCUCCCACCAAGCUGAAAGGGGCCUCAUGCA